GACGAACGCUGGCGGCGUGCUUAACACAUGCAAGUCGAACGGAAGGGCCCUGCUUUUGUGGGGUGCUGGAGGGGCGAACGGGGGAGUAACAGGUGAGUAACCUGCCCUUGACUUUGGGAUAACUUAAGGAAACUGGGGCUAAUACCGUAUAGGAGAUCCUGCUGCAUGGUAGGGGUUGGAACGUUUCGGCGGUUGGGGAUGGACUAGCGGCUUAUCAGCUAGUUGGUGGGGUAGUGGCUUACCAAGGAUUUGACGGGUAGCCGGCCUGAGAGGGUGACCGGCGACAUUGGGACUGAGAUACGGCCCAGACUCCUACGGGAGGCAGCAGUGGGGAAUAUUGCACAAUGGGCGGAAGCCUGAUGCAGCAACGCCGCGUGCGGGAUGACGGCCUUCUGGUUGUAAACCGCUUUCGCCUGUGACGAAGCGUGAGUGACGGUAAUGGGUAAAGAAGCACCGGCUAACUACGUG
rnacentral:rRNA from 1 species